UGUCGCAUUUCCUGGAUUCAAAAAAGCACUGCUGCUCUUGACUUGCUGGAAGACAUAGAGGGAAAUACUUUUUCACAUCAAUCUGAGCUACUUCCCACAUCAGCAUUUCAUGCAACAAGAAGCACCCGGAACCUUUAGUUUUACUGCCUGAUACCACGAACAGUCACAAAUGCGAGCACUAAAGAAUUAGAUGCUUCAGCAAAGCUCUUGUUCUACACGUGGCUCAGUUGCUUCAAAUGGCCAACCUGUAGCUUGGAGUGAUGGUGAGCACCUAGUUGAGAAAUGAACAAAGAGCCCUUAUAACCUUGACCAGCUCCGGAACAUACAACUACCAGUGGAUUUGUUGAAAGGUCAAUCAUUUUUUUAACACUGGGAUGAACGAGAUUCUUCCCUUGUUUGGCUCCUACAUGGUGCUGUGCUUGCUUAGAGUAUCCUGCCGGAAUCCUCAAGAAUUCUAAAUGAUGUAGCAUCACUACUGAGCUCUCCUUCUACUAGCAGUUUCUUCUGGUUCCCUCAAAUGUUCUGGGUGAUGGCCCACUGGAAGGACACCCAAACCCAUAUAUCAUUAAACCAAGUCUUAUACAAAACCUACAUUUCUGAUGGUCUCAUUAGUAAUACAAGAAGGACUGAUACACUCAUGAGACCUCUGGCAAGCAGCAAUGUAGGAAGCUACGUCACCCAGAAAGAGCAGAGACCCACACAGAAUCAGACGUUCAU